rnacentral:ncRNA from 1 species
ACACAUUCAAUGACGAGAAAGAGUAAAUAGACAGCCUGAUCUAUAGAGAGUUGACGAAUGGUGAAAGUCAACGUUCAGCGUGUAUUGAAAAUCCUCUCCGAGAAGCAAAGCCUAAUGUUAACUAAGCUUUGCCGGGAUUCCGCUGUUACAAGGAACACGUAUGAUAGUACGUGUAUGAGCGCUAGACGAUCUUGCACAAGGGAGAUCGCUAGAAUUUGGGUGGUAUCGUGGGUAAUAACUCGUCCCUAAC